AUUGAACGCUGGCGGCAGGCCUAACACAUGCAAGUCGAGCGGAGCGACGGACGGGUGAGUAAUUCCUACGAGUCUGCCUGGUAGUUGGGGAUAGCGUACGGACAGGAGCGCUAAUCCCGCCCACUAUCCGCUGUGCCUCGGUCGUAGUAGCUAGUUGGUGAGGUAAAGGCCUACCAAGGCGACGAUCCGUAACUGGCCUGAGAGGAUGAUCAGUCAAACUGGAACUGAGACACGGUCCAGACUCCUACGGGAGGCAGCAGUGGGGAAUAUUGGACAAUGGGCGAAAGCCUGAUCCAGCCAUGCCGCGUGUGUGAAGAAGGUCUUCGGAUUGUAAAGCACUUUAAGUUGGGAGGCGUUACCAACAGAAUAAGCACCGGCUAACUUCGUGCCAGCAGCCGCGGUAAUAC
rnacentral:rRNA from 1 species